rnacentral:rRNA from 1 species
GGUAGUGGUGAGCCAGACGCCGCGGUAAGACAGGUGGCCCGAGCUUUAGGCAGAAUCACUGGGCUUACAGGGUGUGUAUGCGGAGUUCUAAGUACCUUGUGAAAUCCCACGGCUUAACCGUGGAACUGCUUGGUAGACUGGGUCUCUGGGGCCAUCUAGGGGCUAGCGGAACAAACGGUGGAGCGGUGAAAUGCGUAGAUAUCGUUUGGAACGCCAAUGGUGAAAACAGCUAGCUGGGGAUGUGCCGACGCUGAGACACGAAAGCCAGGGGAGCGAACGGGAUUAGAUACCCUAGUAGUC